GGUGAACGCUGGCGGCGUGCUUAACACAUGCAAGUCGAACGAUGAAGCCCAGCUUGCUGGGUGGAUUAGUGGCGAACGGGUGAGUAACACGUGAGUAACCUGCCCUUAACUCUGGGAUAAGCCUGGGAAACUGGGUCUAAUACCGGAUAGGAGCGCCUACCGCAUGGUGGGUGUUGGAAAGAUUUAUCGGUUUUGGAUGGACUCGCGGCCUAUCAGCUUGUUGGUGAGGUAAUGGCUCACCAAGGCGACGACGGGUAGCCGGCCUGAGAGGGUGACCGGCCACACUGGGACUGAGACACGACCCAGACUCCUACGGGAGGCAGCAGUGGGGAAUAUUGCACAAUGGGCGAAAGCCUGAUGCAGCGACGCCGCGUGAGGGAUGACGGCCUUCGGGUUGUAAACCUCUUUCAGUAGGGAAGAAGCGAAAGUGACGGUACCUGCAGAAGAAGCACCGGCUAACUACGUG
rnacentral:rRNA from 1 species